rnacentral:snoRNA from 1 species
UUGGAUAUGAUGCAUCAAAACCAAACUGACCAUUACUGAUGGUGUUUGUAUUCAUACUGUCUGAUCCAG